rnacentral:rRNA from 1 species
AGUCACUCGAGUUUGAUGGCGACCGGCGCACGGGUGAGUAACGCGUAUCCAACCUACCCUUGUCCAUCGGAUAACCCGUCGAAAGGCGGCCUAACACGAUAUGCGGUUCUCCAGCAGGCAUCUAACGAGAACGAAAUGUGAAGGAGAAGGAUGGGGAUGCGUCUGAUUAGCUUGUUGGCGGGGUAACGGCCCACCAAGGCGACGAUCAGUAGGGGGUUCGUGAGAGGAAGGUCCCCCACAUUGGAACUGAGACACGGUCCAAACUCCUACGGGAGGCAGCAGUGAGGAAUAUUGGUCAAUGGACGGGAGUCUGAACCAGCCAAGUAGCGUGCAGGAUGACGGCCCUAUGGGUUGUAAACUGCUUUUAUAGGGGGAGUAAAGUGUGCCACGUGUGGCAUAUUGCAGGUACCCUAUGAAUAAGGACCGGCUAAUUCCGUG